rnacentral:tRNA from 1 species
GGGCGGUUAGCUCAGCCGGGAGAGCGCCUGCCUUACAAGCAGGAGGUCAUUGGUUCGAUCCCAAUAUCGCCC